AAUUAAGACAUCGAUGACUGCUUUACAUUUGCAAGGUUAUUUACUAAAAAGAUACGCGCCAGAUUUACGCCAGCAGAUAAUGCCAUAUCUGUUUUCCAUAUCAAUAAAUAUGUACAAAUUUAUUACCGUAUAGCAUGUCACACAAGACGUUUUUAUGCCUACGUGUUCAGCUGAAACAUAUGUUACGUCCAAUUUAGUUAAUAUAAGAAGUAGUACGUUUAAGCUGCCAUAAUAUGACCAACUGCUGAGUUAAACAGGAAAAUACUCGAUGAAAUAUUCUGCAUAUAUCUUGCUUCACAUAUUUGAUACUACUACAAGUUACACAAUUGUUUCUUUCUUGUAAAUCGCGACUGUAUGACAUAUUUCGCAUACUUGCACGUUCAUAGGUGCUCGUUUACAACGACAACGAAAUCGAAAAUGUCAGGUAAAGGAGUUGGAGUGAAACGACUCUCAUUAUUCAGUACUGCGGUUGUAACUCUAUUACUCAUGCAUAUAUAAAUAAAUAUUAUGACAACACAAGUGUUUUUGUAUAUUAUAUUGAAGUAAUUGUACACCGGCUAGUACCUCAAAUGUAGACUACUUAUAUUAAAUAAAAUCAUUUUAAACAUA